UACGUAGGGAGCAAGCGUUGUCCGGAAUCAUUGGGCGUAAAGCGCGCGUAGGCGGCCCCGUAAGUCCGCUGUGAAAGUCAAAGGCUCAACUUUUGAAAGCCGGUGGAUACUGUGGGGCUAGAGUCCGGAAGAGGCGAGUGGAAUUCCUGGUGUAGCGGUGGAAUGCGCAGAUAUCAGGAGGAACACCAAUAGCGAAGGCAGCUCGCUGGGACGGUACUGACGCUAAGGCGCGAAAGCGUGGGGAGCGAACAGG
rnacentral:rRNA from 1 species